UACGGGAGGCAGCAGUGGGGAAUAUUGCACAAUGGGCGCAAGCCUGAUGCAGCCAUGCCGCGUGUAUGAAGAAGGCCUUCGGGUUGUAAAGUACUUUCAGUCGUGAGGAAGGUGUUAAGGUUAAUAACCUUAGCAAUUGACGUUAGCGACAGAAGAAGCACCGGCUAACUCCGUGCCAGCAGCCGCGGUAAUACGGAGGGUGCGAGCGUUAAUCGGAAUUACUGGGCUAAAGGGCACGCAGGCGGUUAAUUAAGUUGGAUGUGAAAUCCCCGGGCUUAACCUGGGAAUGGCAUUCAAGACUGGUUAGCUAGAGUCUUGUAGAGGGGGUAGAAUUCCAUGUGUAGCGGUGAAAUGCGUAGAGAUGUGGAGGAAUACCGGGUGGCGAAGGCGGCCCCUGGGACAAAGGACUGACGCUCAUGUGCGAAAGCGUGGGGAGCAAACAGGGAUUAGAUACC
rnacentral:rRNA from 1 species